AUAGUUCCUUCUCAGCCGGAAGACACAAAUGGAGAAGUGAAAAUAUCAGGGAUGUGUUACGAUAAAUUGCGCUUAGUCGCAGGCUAAUACUGUACUGUAUAGGAUAUAUGCUAAUAUGGCGUGGUAUUGAUUAUGCAGGAAAUGUACAGUAAAGGUUUUAAUAAGGUUUCCUGCAACGUCGCAUCUGCGGUUUUUGUGGCUUGACGUGUUAACCUUUAUGGUAGUCUUAUGACAGGCAUUUCCGGGUUAUGUACACUUGUGAGUGAUAUGUUUAUGUCACCACUUCUACUGCAUUUACACGUGUGUUUAUAACUACAGUAUAUACAGGGCACUCAAGUUUUGAAGACAGGCAAGAGUGACAUUUCCAAACCCCAAACUCCAAAAAAUUAAAAAUCGAAUUGAAUUAAAUGUUCUUUCGCUUAAUAAAAUGAGUUCAUUGAGUUAAUUGCAUGUGGAGCACAUGGUUAACAUAGAUGUCUUAAGAUCAUUUACAUUUAGAACAUUUAUAUUUGGCAGAUCCCUUCAUCCACAGUGACAUAAAUGCUAGGUUACACUAGUUCAAGUGUUUCAGGAAGAGGUUGGUCUUUACCCGUCGUUUGAAGAUAGCCAAUGACUCAGCUGUUCAGACACCUAGGAGAAGUUCAUUCCACCACUUCAGUGCCAAAACAAGAAAGAAUUUUGAUGUAUACCUACCUCUUACCCUGAGAGCUGGUGGGACCAGUUGAGCAGUGUUGGUAGCUCUGAGGGAACGAGCUGCACUCUGAGGAGUGACAAGAGCUUCUCCUGGCCUGGGAAAAGAAUUGAAAGACUGCCACAUGGGGGUGGGAGGACAGGUAUGUUCUCCCCACACCGAGACCCUAAUUGUUGAUAUAGUCCGUGAGAACAAUGCCAUUAAACUGAAAUUCAGCAGAAGAUCAUUGAGGACCAUGUAAAUUUUGAGGGUAUCAACAGUGUCAGCCUCUCUACUGUUGAUCGUGUCCUCAAGCGCAACAGACUGCGCAUGAAACAGCUAUACAGCGUGCCCUUUGAUAGCAACUCAGACAGAGUCAAAGAGCAAAGAUUCCAGUAUGUACAGGUUGGCAUAUAUCUAGACACAUUCAAUGUUGAUUACUCGAAGUAGUCAUUUACUGUAGUGGCCUAAAUCACUUUUUCCAUAUCACUCACAAAACUAUAUCUAUUUCUACAGAGGGUUCUUCAACUGGAUGCAAUGGAAAGACCCCAUGAAUACGUGUACAUGGAUGAAGCUGGGUUUAAUCUCACCAAAAGGAGAGGUCGUAAUGUGAUUGGCCAUUAGGCCAUUGUUGGUGUUCCUGGGCAGCGUGCUGGCAAUGUCACAUUAGCCAUCAGCAAUCAUGGGGUUGUCCACCAUCAUGCCAAACUGGGGCUCUACAACACUCACCAGCUCAUUUUCCUCAAUUGCAUAUGAGAUGCUCUGUCAGGGCAGCAGGAUGAGCAUCCCAUCUAUGUUGUUGUUUGGGACAAUGUGAGUUUCCACAGAGCAUUCGAGGUUAGAGAGUGGUUCAAUAUGAACCAAGGUUUUAUCAAUCAUUGUCUUCCACCGUACUCCCCUUUCCUAAACCCCAUUGAGGAAUUCUUCUCCUCAUGGCGGUGGAAGGUCUAUGAACGCCAACCGUACACCAGGGUACAUCUCCUGCAAGCCAUGGGACUUGCCUGUGGUGACAUAGGUGUGGAGGCAUGCCAAGCCUGGAUACGGCAUGCCAGGGUUUUUUCCCCCGUUGCCUGGCCAGACAAAAUGUGGCCUGUGAUGUGGAUGAAGUCCUGUGGCUUGACCCAGUACGGCGACAUGAUGCUGUGGCUGAGUAAUGCACUUAUUUGUGUAUUUUUGUACUUUAUUUUUACAUGGGCUUACUGUACACAAGUGGCAAAUGCACAAGAUUUAUGUGUUGUCUUUUUGUACAAGUGCUAAAUGCACAGUUUUUUUUGUUUUGCAACAUGCAUUUAGCCUACAGUGAACAAUAAACAUUUAUUUCUCCAGCUUCA